CCUACGGGGGGCAGCAGUGGGGAAUAUUGCACAAUGGGCGCAAGCCUGAUGCAGCCAUGCCGCGUGUGUGAAGAAGGCCUUCGGGUUGUAAAGCACUUUCAGCGGGGAGGAAGGCGGUGAGGUUAAUAACCUCAUCGAUUGACGUUACCCGCAGAAGAAGCACCGGCUAACUCCGUGCCAGCAGCCGCGGUAAUACGGAGGGUGCAAGCGUUAAUCGGAAUUACUGGGCGUAAAGCGCACGCAGGCGGUCUGUCAAGUCGGAUGUGAAAUCCCCGGGCUCAACCUGGGAACUGCAUUCGAAACUGGCAGGCUAGAGUCUUGUAGAGGGGGGUAGAAUUCCAGGUGUAGCGGUGAAAUGCGUGGAGAUCUGGAGGAAUACCGGUGGCGAAGGCGGCCCCCUGGACAAAGACUGACGCUCAGGUGCGAAAGCGUGGAGAGCAAACAGGAUUAGAUACCCCUGUAGUC
rnacentral:rRNA from 1 species